UACGUAGGGUGCAAGCGUUAAUCGGAAUUACUGGGCGUAAAGCGUGCGUAGGCGGUUUUGUAAGUCUGUCGUGAAAGCCCCGGGCUCAACCUGGGAAUUGCGAUGGAGACUGCAAGGCUUGAAUCUGGCAGAGGGGGGUAGAAUUCCACGUGUAGCAGUGAAAUGCGUAGAGAUGUGGAGGAACACCGAUGGCGAAGGCAGCCCCCUGGGUCAAGAUUGACGCUCAUGCACGAAAGCGUGGGGAGCAAACAGG
rnacentral:rRNA from 1 species